AGCGAACGCUGGCGGCAGGCCUAACACAUGCAAGUCGAACGAACUCUUCGGAGUUAGUGGCGGACGGGUGAGUAACACGUGGGAACGUGCCUUUAGGUUCGGAAUAACUCAGGGAAACUUGUGCUAAUACCGAAUGUGCCCUUCGGGGGAAAGAUUUAUCGCCUUUAGAGCGGCCCGCGUCUGAUUAGCAAGUUGGUGAGGUAGAGGCUCACCAAGGCUAGGAUCAGUAGCUGGUCUGAGAGGAUGACCAGCCACAUUGGGACUGAGACACGGACCAAACUCCUACGGGAGGCGGCAGUGGGGAAUCCUGCGCAAUGGGCGAAAGCCUGACGCAGCCAUGCCGCGUGGAUGAUGAAGGUCUUAGGAUUGUAAAAUCCUUUCACCGGUGAAGAUAAUGACUGUAGCCGGAGAAGAAGCCCCGGCUAACUUCGUGCCAGCCGCCGCCGUAAUAC
rnacentral:rRNA from 1 species